rnacentral:rRNA from 1 species
AUUGAACGCUGGCGGCAUGCCUUACACAUGCAAGUCGAACGGCAGCACGGGGCAACCUGGUGGCGAGUGGCGAACGGGUGAGUGAUGCAUCGGAACGUACCUUUCAGUGGGGGAUAACGUAGCGAAAGUUACGCUAAUACCGCAUAUUCUGUGAGCAGGAAAGCAGGGGAUCGCAAGACCUUGCGCUGAUUGAGCGGCCGAUGUAAGAUUAGCUAGUUGGUGAGGUAAAGGCUCACCAAGGCGACGAUCUGUAGCGGGUCUGAGAGGAUGAUCCGCCACACUGGGACUGAGACACGGCCCAGACUCCUACGGGAGGCAGCAGUGGGGAAUUUUGGACAAUGGGGGCAACCCUGAUCCAGCCAUGCCGCGUGAGUGAAGAAGGCCUUCGGGUUGUAAAGCUCUUUCGGCCGGGAAAAAAUCACAUGGGUUAAUACCCUGUGUGGAUGAUGGUACCGGAAUAAGAAGCACCGGCUAACUACGUGCCAGCCG